rnacentral:rRNA from 1 species
AGGUAGCGAAAUUCCUUGUCAGGUAAGUUCUGACCCGCACGAAAGGUGUAACGAUCUGGGCACUGUCUCAACAACCCGCCCGGCGAAAUUGUAGUACCGGUGAAGAUGCCGGUUACCCGCGACUAGACGGAAAGACCCCAUGGAGCUUUACUGUAGCCUAAUAUUGGAUUUCGGUAUUUCACGUACAGGAUAGGUGGGAGACUGGGAAGCACAGGCGUCAGCUUGUGUGGAGUCGACCUUGGGAUACCACUCUUGGAGUGCUGGAAUUCUAACCUGCGGCUUUGAAGCAAGUCGGGGGACAUUGUUAGGUGGGCAGUUUGACUGGGGCGGUCGCCUCCUAAAGAGUAACGGAGGCGCUCAAAGGUUCGCUCUGCAUGGAUGGAAACCAUGCGUCAGAGUGUAAACGCAAAAGCGAGCCUAACUGCGAGAAUGACGGUUCGAGCAGUAACGAAAGUUGGAGUUAGUGAUCCGGCGGUAUGUGAAUGGAAAUGCCGUCGCUCAACGGAUAAAAGCUACCCUGGGGAUAACAGGCUGAUCUCCCCCAAGAGUCCACAUCGACGGGGAGGUUUGGCACCUCGAUGUCGGCUCAUCGCAUCCUGGGGCUGAAUUCGGUCCCAAGGGUUUGGCUGUUCGCCAAUUAAAGCGGUACGCGAGCUGGGUUCAGAACGUCGUGAGACAGUUCGGUCCCUAUCUGUCGUGGGCGUAGGAUAUUUGCAAGGAGCUGUCCCUAGUACGAGAGGACCGGGAUGGACGCACCUCUGGUGCACCAGUUGUCACGCCAGUGGCACAGCUGGGCAGCUAUGUGCGGAACGGAUAAACGCUGAAGGCAUCUAAGCGUGAAGCCGCCCUUAAGAUAAGAUAUCCCUUCUGUUUACAGAGUAAGACCCCUUGAAGACUACAAGGUUGAUAGGCUCAAAGUGUAAGCACGGUGACGUGUUUAGCUAGCGAGUACUAAUCGGUCGAGUGCUUAACCUU